GGAUUAUGUUAAAAAUCAAAGAAUUUGGCGGUAUCUUAACCUAAUAGAGGAACUUGGUCUAUAAUCGAUGUACCACGUAGUAUCUUUCCUUGGCUAAAGUUUGUAUACCGUUGUUGCCAGAUUACUUUUAAUAAUUUUUGAGUUUUCUUGAUAGAAUAGACUUAUUCUACCACUUCAAAUCAAGGUGCAGUAUAUGCUAAGGUAGAGCUGAGUUACUUUUAAUGAGAAAUGGAGGGCAGGUUGAAAUCUUGUUUGAGAUAGGAUUUAUUAGUAAGUCUUUAUUAACUAAGAUUAGCUGAAAAGGGGUCUAGGGUAUGUACAAAUCGCCCGUCACUCUGAUUUUAAUAUCAGAUAAGUCGUAACAAAGUAGAUGUAAGGGAACUUGUAUCUAGCUGA
rnacentral:rRNA from 1 species